GAUGUGACAGGCCUCCCUCCAGUACUCCUGAAGCUGCGGUGCAGUCACACAGUCAGGAGAGCCAGCAGCUGAAGCAGCUCCAGCUGACCCAUGCAGGCCAGGUCAGAGCCCUGAAGGAGGAGCAGAGGAGACAGCAGCAACAACUACUGCAGUGUACUUCCUGAAUUGUCCAGAAUUAAAAGGGAAUUGACCCCAACCCUGACCUCUAAACAAUUGAUGAAGCAGCAGCAACUACUGCAGGUGAGAGAGACCGC